rnacentral:rRNA from 1 species
GACGAGGGGUCCUAGCGUUGUUCGGAAUCACUGGGCGUAAAGCGUAUGUAGGCGGGUUUCUAAGUCAGGUGUGAAAUCCCAUGGCUCAACCAUGGAAUUGCAUUUGAAACUGGAAGUCUUGAGUGUGGGAGAGAUUGGUAGAAUACCUAGUGUAGUGGUGAAAUACGUAGAUAUUAGGUGGAAUACCGGAGGCGAAGGCGGCCAAUUGGCCCAACACUGACGCUGAGAUACGAAAGCGUGGGGAUCAAACAGG